AAUUGAUUCACGCUAACCCAGCCCAGACCUGGGGUUGGUUAGUGGAAUCCACUGCUAGAUAAUUUGUUAUUCAUACUUAUCCAUCCGCCUCCCGCUGGGCUGAGAUAAAGGUAAAGUGCUUCUUCUGCCUUACCUUCAAGGAGGAUGGAUUUCACCCCAGAUAAGAGUUGGGCGCAUCAACACAUAGCAACUUUUAAGUGGUCAGUGUUCUUCCUGAAGGCACAGGAGCACAUUCCCACCUCAGCCACACUUCUCCUUCCCCAGAUAUGACAGCUCUAAAAUAACAACAAAGUCCUCUUUAACCUUCCUGAUCUUUAAGCACAUGGUCUGUGAAAACAUCAACUUCUUUAUAUCCACUGUACUCUGUAUUUCUAAGUAUAUGCUUGACAUCUAUAUUUUCCUGAGGCAGUAAAUUUUCUUUCUGCCAGCACUGGAGUAAAUGCUUUAAUCGGAAUAAAUCUGACUGUUUUU
ensembl:lncRNA